rnacentral:lncRNA from 1 species
CAGGUCUCCUCUUCCUUUCUCAUCUAUUCCCUUUUUAAAUCCUUUUUUAUUUUUUGCUUUAAUCGCUUGUUUCAUGGGCGAUCACUUUUCUCUCUUGCGAUCGGUGAAUUUUGAUUCUUCUGUCUACCCAUAAACCUCGUGUUGACAUGUGUUUCGCGAUCUAACAAUAUAUAUUAUUAGUGUUUACGGAUUGUUUUAGACAUCAAUCAUCGAUCCUCUCGCUGAGGAAAAUUGCAGUUCCUAGUCUUGCGAACUGUUGAUUUGUUCCUAAUUUGGGGGUUACUGAUCCUAGAGGAAUUGGAUUUCAUUAAUCUAUUUGAUUCAUCAUCAUCAUUAUGUGUUGCGUGCAGAGUAUCAAUAAUCAAUCUACCUUGGAACAAUGAGUGAGGUGUUUAACGGAUACGAGCGCCAAUACUGCGACCUCUCGGCCAACCUCUCCAAGAAAUGCUCCUCUGCUAUUGCCCUUGACGGAGGUAAGUAAUUCCAUAUCAUCUCUUGCUCCUCAUCCACUGCCCCUAACUUCCUUCCUCUUUUAUGAGUUACUACAAGCCUUUCUCUGCUUUCCAGGGCCGGCCCUAGGCCAUGCUAGGUGAAACAUUCGCAACAGGCCCCUAAAAUUUUUGAAAAAAAUUACAUACAAAUAAGCCCCAAAACAAAAUUUCAUACAGCAGGGUCAGACCUCCAGAAUCUCAGGUCUGGCCCUGCUGCUUCCCUUUGAAAGCUGAUGAUACCUUUACUGAUUGAAUUGCAGAACAAAAGAAGCAGAAGCUCUCUGAGAUAAGAUCUGGCCUCGAUAAUGCUGAAGCAUUGGUAUGUGUGACUCUGGAAUAUAGCAGUUUUUUCUUUAUUGUCCCUUUUAACAUUUUUUCUUAUUCACCAGAUUAGGAAAAUGGAUGUUGAGGCGAGGAGCCUUCCACCGAGCAUUAGGACCAGCCUCCUUGUUAAACUAAGAGAGUUCAAGUCCGAUCUCAACAACUUCAAAAGCGAAGUCAAGAGGAUCACAUCUGCUAACUUGAAUGCUGCUGCUCGCGACGAGCUGCUUGAAGCUGGUCUGGCUGACACAAAGACGGUAUGUAAAGAGAACUCACUAGUAUCUUUUUUGACAUCUUUUGAUUGAUCUAUGACAUUUGAGGGCAGGCUUCGGCUGAUCAAAGAGCGAGAUUGAUGAUGUCAACCGAUCGAUUGGGUCGAACCACUGACAGAAUCAAGGACAGUCGAAGAAUGAUGAUUGAGACUGAAGAGCUUGGAGUUUCUGUCCUACAAGACUUGCACAGUCAGAGACAGUCUCUCCUUCGCACUGGCGACACGGUAUGUACUCUCUUCUUCAGCACGAUUUUAUCAUGAAGAAGACUACGUUUUAUUUAUAUACUACUUGUGAUUGGUGUCUCUUUUAACCAAAAGUUAGAACUCUGAAACAUGCAGCUUAGUGGAGUAGACGAAAAUGUCGGAAAGAGCAAGAAGAUCUUGACGGGCAUGACCAGGGGGAUGAACAGGAACAAAUGGACCAUUGGAGCCAUUAUCACCGCUCUGGUCGCGGCUAUUAUCCUCAUCUUGUACUUCAAACUCACCAAGUAAUCCCUCUGUAUCUAAACUCUUUGUCGCUGAACAAAUGGUGUGUAUCUUUUAUUUAAUCCUUUUCUGGCUUUCUGUGUGAUAAGUUAUGUCUUUGCCACCUUUUGUAUUAUCACGUUCUCUUGUUUGCGUUUGCGAUUACAUUUGUGUAUUUUAAUACUGAAUGAUGCAAAUUGUUUUGUUUUAUUAUUACUAAACGCAAGCGUAAAUUACAUUUCAAACAAUUAGAGCCUAAGCCUUGAGAUUGAGAACUAGUUGUGUGUUUUUCUUUCAUUCUUGAACCUGUUAUAAUCAGCGAGCAAGCUCUCAAUAACCUUAUGUUUCAUGCUAUCCACCAAACCAGUCAAAAUCUGUAGAAACCAAAUCACAACCAAACAUUAUUUACAAAGCUGAAAUAGUGGAAAAUAUCGUUUUCGAGUUCUCAAACGCAUAUAAGAAACCGUUUCUAACCGCAUUGGCCACGCUUCUCUUAACAUCUUCGGGUACAAACGCAAGAACCGAAGGAAGGACGAAGCUUACGUUCAUCUCUAAUUGACCUUUGAGCCUUGUGUGGCUUCCGCCUCGGUCUGGGUACAAUGCUCCUUGAACUCCCAGAGUGAAAUCAGACUGUUCCAUGACCUGGCCAAGCCCUUGAAGCUCCCAUUUCAUCUGAAGGUAAACCGUUAAAAGGGAACAAAAGAGUGAGAAUCGUCAAGGGUUGUGUCUGUUUCUAUUACCAUGUUAAGCUCAAGAACUCUGGUUAUGUCUAGAGGUACAUCAGGCGGGUAAUCUUGACCGUUGGAUUUGCAUCUAAUUCGCAUGUCCACCACUGGCCUUGCAGUGAGGAAGAGGAAAUUUAUAGGUGACAUAUGAAUUCUCCAUUCUUCCUGCACAAAUAAAAUAUUGUUAGAUACCGAAUGCAUUCCCACUUACAUAAAAAGUAACACAUAUUAGCUACCUCGUUAAGCCUAUAGCUUCUAGGUUUAUCAGGAAACAUUGCUUUGAAAACCCUACACUUAUCCUCCAAAUACUCAUCGAACAACGCCUGAACUUUCCCGAAACGCGUCAAACACAUACACUGUUGUACAGUGAUGCAUAUAUAUAACUCAUUAUAGGAAAUGAGAGUGAGAAUGAGACCUGAGGAGACUCGUGCAAUUGAACAUCGGUAGAGAAUUUAGAUGAAUACUUGGAGGCUUUUACAGUUGACAACUGGCACUUGGCUCCUGGCCGUAAUGUUCUCAUCUCCGCCGCUGUAGACCUGAUUCUUCCCAGCAUUGUCGGACACGACAAAACUGUUGAGCUGACAGCCAUGUUAGUAGUCUCUCUCUAGGUUUUCAAGAUUGGAUGAUGUUUGAUCUUUCCCACAUGUUUGAAAGAUAAGGGGAUAUGUGUCUUUCGGCCUUGUAUGUAGACGUGGUAUAUCGAGGGACUAUCCACCUCAUCAACAUUUUGAAUUCUUGGCCCUCUUUGAUUUACUCCUUUAUUCACGUUUUUCUCACUAUUAAGAAGAAGACAAUCUUGUUGAACAAAUAAUUAAAAAAAAGAAGACAAUCUCUUUCUCUCUAUACUCUUUCAGUCUUUCUUCGGUUCUCUGUUAUGAAAACAGUCUCCUUUCUUUCGGCUAAAUCAGGUCAAUAACAGAAAAUUGUGUGUUUUUUUUACAGUGUUCUAAAAAUUGGUUUAGAUGACACAUUAAAAAAAGUCUAACCAUACAUUUAAUCAACAAUCUUCGUAAAAAGUAUAACUACCGCCUAACGAUUUUUUGCAUUGUUUUUCUCUCAAAAUAUUACAAUUGACAGAUUUAAUAUUCAAAUAUUAUAGUUACUCCAUAACUAAUAGCUCGACGGCAUAAAAUUGACAUGAUAUAGUCAAUAGUUUCGUCUAUUUUUAACAGUUGACUAUUAUAAUCCUAAUUUUUUUAAUUAUAAUCCUAGUUUUAUGGUGUAUAUAUAUACUAGUUGAUACAAGUUGUUUUGUUUAAUAUAAACGUAUACGCCAAACAUGGCGCAUAAAUUACAUUCAAACCAUUAAAGCUUUAGCCUUGAGAUUAAAAACUAAUGAUGUGUUCUUCUUUCAUUCUUAAACCUAUUAUAAUCAUCGAGCAAGCUCUCAAUAACCUUAUGCUUCAUAUUAUCCACCAAACCAUUUAAAACCUGCAGAAAGCAAAUAAAAACAUAAGAUAAUAUAUAAAUUUGGAAUAUAGUGUUUUGAAUUUGCAAAUGCAUUUAUUUCUAACCGCAUUGGCAACGUUUCUCCUAACAUCCUCUGGUACAAGCAUGAGAACCGUAGGAAGCACGAAGCUAACGUUCAUCUCUAGUCGACCUUUGAGCCUUGUGUGCCUUCCGCCUCGGUCUGGGUACAAUGCUCCUUGAACUCCAAGGGUGAAAUCAGAUGGCUCCAUGACCCGGUCAAGCCCUUGAAGCUCCCAUUUCAUCUGAAAAUAAACCGUUCAAAGAGAACAAAAGAGUGAGGUAUUUAGACUUUUUAGUACUUCCUCCAUUCAACGAAGAUAUAAAUCUUGGAUAUUUCACACAAUUUAAAUAUAAAUUUACAAUUCUAAAAUAUUUUUUUAAUACCAUAAUUUAAAAAAAAUCAAUUUAUUUCAACAGUAUUGUCUUAAUCAAUAUGAUCAGUAAAUAAAGGUAAACAAUUAUUCAUAAAACUUUUCUCUUUCUGAAACAAUUAAAAAUGUCAAAACUUGUAUUUUUGUGGAAAGGAGUGAGUACCAUGUUAAGCUCAAGGACUUUGGUUAUGUCUAGAGGUACAUCAGGCGGGUAAUCCUGACCGGUGGAUUUGCAUCGGAUCCGCAUGACCACCACUGGCCACGCAGUGAGGAAGAGAAAUUUUAUUGGCAACAUUUGGAUUCUCCAUUCUUCCUGCACAAGUAAAUCAUGUCGGUCUUUUCGUUAGAGUAACCAAAGAAUGCAACCCAGAGCCGUGCCUGACUAGAGGCUGAUCAAGCACUUGCUUGAGGCCAAAACGUAGAUAAAUAGUUUUAUGGGCCAAUUUCUUGGCAAGAGUUGUCUACAGAACAGUUGGUAAUAGUCUGUAUUAUUACUCUAGGGUCCCGGGUUCAAUCACGAGUAUAGCAGUUUGACCUUUUUUCCAAAAAAUUUAUAGUUUAUGGGGCAAAUUUUUUUUAGUGCUUUAGGACCCACAAUAUUCAGGCAUGGCCCUGAAUUGCAACCCCACACUUAUAAAAAUGGAACAUGGAUGUUACCUCGUUAAGCCUAUAGCUUUUGGGUUUAUCAGGAAACAUUGCUUUGAAAACCCUCGACUUAUCCUCCAAAUACUCAUCGAACAACGCCUGAAGUUUCAAAGCAUUACAACACAAACAGUUUUACACUGAUGCAUACAUAUAUAACAUUAUAGAGAUUGAAAGUGAGAAAGAGAUACCAGAGGAGACUCGUGCAGUUGAACAUCGGUAGUUAUUUUAGAUGAAUAUUUGGAGGGUUUUACGGGUGACAACUGACACUUAACUCCCCACCGUAUUGUUCUCAUCUCCACCGCCACCGACCGGCGUCUUCCGAACAUCUUCGGGCAUGACAAAACCAUUGAGCUUACAGCCAUUUUACCAGUCUUUCUCUCUCUUUUUUGGUCUUCAAGAUUGGAUGAUAUUUGAUCUUUCCCACUUUUCUCUCUCUCUAUAUUUAUAUAUAUCUUCAGAGGAAAGAUUGCGUCUUUGCUUCUCUUUAAUACGUUUAGAGACCUUUGUUAAAGAAAAUAGAGACAGAGAGUAACAUUCUCACGGUACGCAUUUGGAAGAUAGUGGAUUUCGAGAAAUAAUUGUUGAAACAUUGCUUUUCAACCUCUAUAGUAACCGGGUACAUAUUCGGUUUGGUUUAAUUGUUUCAGGUUUUGUAAGAAAUAUAAGUCCACUUCAUUUAAUUUAGUUUAGUUUGGUUUGGUUUAGUUAAGAGGUUACCCAUUUAUUUUGCCAUCUACGUGGUGAUAAUGUAAAGCCUCGUCUGUCACGCAGUUGUUGAUGAGAGUGACACGAGAACAUUGAACGUUGAGAAUAAUCUGUAGAAUAACUUCUAUCACACGCAGAGGUUUUGAAAAAAAAAAGAAAAAGAAUUCAUUGCUUUCGAAACCGACAAACUCUCGGACCGAAUACUAAGAAACCGGUUUACUUUGGCGCCUAGGAAUAUGGGUUACUAACUUUGACUUUUAAUGUAAGCAAUAAGCAAAGAUCUCUUGUUGUUUGCAACUCUUUCAACUCUAUAAUCUUUGUUUUUCAGACUGGCUAAGUAAAUUAAAACAUUAAAAUCUUAUAUAGUAUGUUACGAUGACUGUUCAUAAACGAUUUGUUCAUGUUGGAUUGAGAAACUAUACAUGGUUGAGCAUUGACAUUAAAAUUCGGCUUUAGUAGAUAACUUGUGUAAUCUUCUCUCGUUCUUGAACCUGCUAUAAUCAGCGAGCAAGCUCCCAUUAACCUUAUGCUUCAUAUUCUCCACUAAACCUGUCAAAACCUGUAAAUGGGUCCAAAUCAGAUCAUGUGUAAAUCAUAAGAGAUAGUCAAAUAAGGUUUUACAUACCGCACUGGCCAAGUUUCUCCUAACGUCUUCAGGUACCAAUUCAAGAACCGGGGGAAGAACAAAGCUUAUGUUCAUCUCUAGCUGACCUCUGAGCCUUGUGUGCUUUCCUCUCCGGUCUGGGUACAAUGCUCCUUUGACUCCCAAACUGAAGUCAGACGGUUGCAUCACUCGGUCAAGCCCUUUAAGUUGCCAUCUCGUCUGAAAAGAAGCAUUUAAGAGUUUGAGUAAUGGAAGAUGAAGAAACGAAGAGAGAGAAAAGUUAUUACCAUGUUGAGCUCAACAACUUUGGUUAUGUCUAAAGGUACGUCUGCCGGGUAAUCCUGACCGUUGGAUUUGCAACUUAAACGCAUAUCGACCACAGGCCACACAGUGAGGAAGAGGAAAUUAAUUGGUAACAUCUGAAUCCUCCACUCUUCCUGCAAAAAUUCAAUUUAUCCAAGUAGACUUAAAAUAGUGAAAAAGGGGGCGUUCCGAGAAUUGAACUCGGGACCUCUCGCACCCUAAGCGAGAAUCAUACCACUAGACCAAACGCCCGUUUUGAACGUGUUUUAUAUAUAACUAAUGUUAGUCAUAUUAGUUGACGUACCUCGUUAAGCUUAUGGCUUCUGGGUUUGUCAGGGAACAUGGCUUCGAAAACUCUCGAUUUAUCCUCUAAAUAGUCAUCAAACAACGCCUAAAAGUUCCUCAAAAUCACAUUUAAGAAACGCACCAAAACAGUUUAAACUGAAUCGUGUUAUAGAGGGAGAGAGAGAAGGAGACCUGAGGAGACUCGUGGAGAGGAAUAUCUGUGGAGAGUCUUGACGAAUACGUGGCAGGUUUUAUGGAUGAUACCUGACACCUAACUCUCCACCGUGUAAUUGGUCUCAUCUCCGUCUUCACCGGUCGGUAAGUUCCGAACAUGGGCGAUGACAAAACCGCCAUUUCACCGAUUAUCUUUUCAAUAUCAGAACUUUUAUAUAUUCCACAUUUCUCUUUUGAUUUCUCUCUGAAAGUUAAAAACUUUUGAAAGAACUUUUAGAUUUCUCUAGAGGAGUGAAGUUGCUUUUUGCUAGAGAUUUUGGAGGGAUAAGGGGAUAUCUGUCUUUCGGCCUUCUAUGUCGACGUGGCAUAUUUUGAGACUAGCCACAUCAUCAACAUUUGGAAUUCGUAGGGCCCUUCUUUUCUUUGUACUCCUUUCGGACUUUUCCUUUCCGUUAGUGGAUGAGAAUGACACGAGACGAAACUAAAAAAAAAAAAAACUCAAAUGUAUUAUCUGACGACAAAGGAAGGUUCGACAAACUAAACUCAAUCCUUAUUUUACAUUAGUUCCACUGUACAUGUUCUGUCAUAUUAAAAGAUCAAGAAUAUUCAAAUCCUACGAGCAACGCAUUAUAUUGUCGGAUGAAUUUCCUUGAAAGUGUAUGGUUUGAAAUUUCAGGACUGUAGAGGGCACACAGAUGAUCCUCCUAAAGAAUGUAGAUAUCAAACCUUAAGUUCUGUGAUUUGUUCUUCGAUUUCUUGCUUAUAAAAGCAAACUAAAAUGAAAUGUGGAACGUAAAUGCCACAAUUGAUUCACGGCUUCGUUGAGCUCACUUCACUCUCUUUGUUAAAACUCAAAUACAUCUCGAUCUUCUUAGUUCCAACAACCAAAGAGGAUACAAAAGACAAUCUUUCACGGUUUAUUUCUAACAUUAGUAAGAAAAGGACUCGUCUCUUUCUCUCUUAAUUCCUUCACGGUUAAAACCUCAAGUCAAACCGUCAACACACUUAUGGGCCUUAUCCAUUUCCUAACUGGGCCUUAAUUUUAAUUUUAAUUUCUAGUCCAAUCGGUAAUCGCUUCGAUCUGUCGGUAGACAGAAUAGAAUAAUGGUUUCGCCGGUUAAACCAGUCGGCAAUCGGUACGAUCAGAUUGCAUAAAAGCAAAUCAUAAUAAGUCACGUGGCACAGUUUACACGGUUCGUAGACUCGUAGUGGUCGCCAUGUAAACAGCGGGAAAACAGGGCCCCACACAUAUUAACUAAGGAGUAGGACCAACAAAAUCAUCACCACGAAACGCAGCGUUUCCCCUUCGUCUCCGCGUUUAAAAUCUUCUUUCACCCUUUCGUCAUUUCGUCAGAUCCAAGAGAGAGAGAGAGAAAUCAGAAAAAGAUCUUGAAACGAUGCCGUACUACACCAGAGACGAGGAUGAAGUCGACGAUUUCGACGAGUUCGAUCCGACGCCGUACAGUGGAGGCUACGACAUCACCGUGAUCUACGGCCGUCCGAUCCCUCCUUGCGACGACACUUGCUACCCUCUCUCCUCCGCAGCGGAUGAAGAUUUCGAGUACGAGAGACCUGAAUUCACCUCGUACCACGAUCCUUCCGCCUACGCCGAAGAAGCUCUCAACCCCGAGUACAGCAGCUACUCCCGCCCCAAGCCCCGUCCCGGUUUUCGACCCGGUUCUGCCGGAGGCGGUCACGUCCAAGGUGAGCGACCCGAUCAGAGUUACGGAUCCGGUUACGGUGGUCAGACGGAGGCUGAGUACGGUAGGAGACCUGAAUCGGGGUACGGCGGAGCCACGGAGACGGAGUAUGGCCGGAGACCUGAGCAGAGUUACGGAUCUGGUGGAUACGGUGGCAGAUCGGAGGUUGAGUCUGGUGGCUAUGGUGGUAGAUCAGAGGUUGAAUCUGGUGGAUACGGUGGAAGAUCGGAGUCUGGUGGCUAUGGUGGAAGAACGGAGGUUGAGUAUGGCCGGAGACCUGAAUCUGGAUAUGGUGGGAGAUCGGAGACGGAGACCGGGUACGGAUCCGGGUAUGAGAAGAAACCGAGCUUCGGUGAAGAGAGGAGCGAGUAUGAGCGCAAGCCUAGCUAUGGAAGGUCUGAGGAUCAAGAGGAAGGAGGUUACAGGAAGCCUAGCUAUGGGAGAUCUGAGGAUCAGGUUGAGAGCUACAUAAAGCCCAGCAGCUACGGGAGGUCUGAGGAAGAGGAAGAAGGAGGCUAUAGGAAGCCUAGCUAUGGAAGGUCUGAGGAACAGGAGGAAGGGAGUUACAGGAAGCCUAGCUAUGGCCGUCGUAAUGAUGAUGAUGAUGAUGAGGAGCGCAGGAACCGUUCCGGUGAUGAUGAGGAAGGGAGCUAUGGCCGCAAGAAAUAUGUAAGUUCAAUAAGUUAAUUAUAUAAAGUUAUAGUCAAUUUGCAUCUAGAUUAUUGUGUGGAAAUUAAGUUUAUUGAUUGUUUAAACAUAAAACCCUUUUGUUGAUGGACUGAUCUCAACAUUGAAACUAAAGAUUAUAGUUUUGGUGAUAACAUCCAUUACCCCCUUUAACUUCAUUCGUUCAGUAUUUGAUUUAACAUUGACAUCUUGUAGGUUAUAACAAUCAUAGUACAGAACUUGCAUUGUGUUUUUUGCGUCUCGUUUGUUUUGAAAAUAAGUUUUAGUUUGGUUUUGAUCACAGUGUAGCGGUGUAACUCUGUUUUCACAUCCUGAAAUGGAGUUCCUUAAUUUGAAAGCUAUGUUCUACAAUCCCAUAAUAACGUUCCUGGUUCAAUGUUUGUUUGAAUAUAGACAUCUUGAAUAUGUCCCAUUGUUGAUCUUAGUGUAGAGUAGUCUCCAUGUUGAACUAAAGUGUUUGUCUUUCAUACCCUGUAACUCUGUUUUCACAUCCUGUAAUGGAUUAGCCUCGGUUGAAAGCUAAGUUCUUUGAUUGAAAUUGCACAUCAUGUAUAUGACAUUUGAAGAUCAUAGUUACAGAGUAUCUAUCUCCAUUGUUAUGGUGACCGUUAAUAGAGGCAUCACUGACUAAAGCUUUCGCUUAACGUUAUUCAUCUCUGCAUCAAAUUCUGUAGGGUGGCAAUGACUCUGAUGAUGAUGAGGAGAAGAAGCAGCAGCGUUACAAGCAUCACCACCACCAGAGGCGUCGUGAUGAAGACGAUGACUAAAGCCCUCACUCAGUGCUGGAAUCGAGUGCUUCUACUUAG